GCCUAUGGCCAUACCACCCUGAAUGCGCCCAGUCUCGUCUGUUCUCGGCAACUGAGCAGGGUCGGGCCUGGUUAGUACUUGGAUGGGAGAGAGGACUUCCUGGGGGAAGUGGCUUGUGAGCU
rnacentral:rRNA from 1 species